rnacentral:rRNA from 1 species
AUGGCUCAGGAUGAACGCUAGCUACAGGCCUAACACAUGCAAGUCGAGGGGCAGCAGAUCGAAAGCUUGCUUUGAUGCUGGCGACCGGCGAAUGGGUGAGUCACGCGUGUCCAACCUGCCCUGUGCCCGGGGAUAGCCCUUGGAAAUGAGGAUUAACACCCGAUACGUGGCGCUUCCGCAUGGCGGCGCCAUGAAACUGACACAGGAUGGGGACGCGUCGGAUUAGCUUGACGGCGGGGCGACGGCCCACCGUGGCGACGAUCCGCAGGGGUUCUGAGAGGAAGGUCCCCCACACUGGCACUGAGACACGGGCCAGACUCCUACGGGAGGCAGCAGUGAGGAAUAUUGGUCAAUGGCCGAGAGGCUGAACCAGCCAAGUAGCCGUGCAGGACGACGGCCCUACGGGUUGUAAACUGCUUUUGCGGGAGGAUAAAGGACGCCACGUGUGGUGUUUUGCAGGUAUCCCGUGAAUAAGGACCGGCUAAUUCCGUGCCAGCCGCAGC